AUUGUAUUCUUUGCAAUAAUGUAUAUUGGCAGAGUGUGUAAGGUGCUUAAUUCUAAGAUACGUAAAUAACUCCCUACAUGGGAGUGAGAACUCUCUGUAUAUCUGGAAACUGUUUGAGGCCAGUUGCUGUGUAUAAGUUACUAAUUGCAGAUAUCCCUCUGUGAAUCCAUGGCCCCAAUGGGAUAUCCUGGGCUAGAGAGUGUUGAGUACCGUUAUAGGUGCGAAAUAGAGAUGUUCUGGUCCCAUCAGUUUCCGAGCCCAUCUCUCCCAACUACGCAAUAGGAAUGUGGUACUACAGAGUUUAUUGAUCACAGCAGAUCUAAGGUUAGGGAAUAUACAGGCAUUCUCCAAGGAGAGCCAUAUCGGUGGUUUGGGACAGGAUAAGACCUCCACACCCUGUGCCAGCACUGACUGAGGCUUUAUAAUACGUUUUGACAUUAGAAACUCCGAGGCCACCUUUGUUCAUUGGUAGCCAUGUAAGACACCUAACUAUUUUGUGUUUUUUUUCCCAGAUAUACGCAUUAAAAAGGGACUGGAAUUUCUUUGUAAGCCUGUCUGGUAACAGUACAGGAAUAGUUCGGAACAGAUACAAUAUGUGGGGUAAAUCUUUUGACAGUAUGGAUAUGACCCAACCACAAGAUAUCCAAGCCCUGCCAUUUGUCUAGCAUUGUCUGGAGUUUGUGAGUAAGCGGUAUAUGAUUCUCUUUAGUGAGUUGUGCGUUUGUCUUUGUCAAAUUAAUGCCCAAGUAUUUCAAGGAUGUUUUCCUCCAAUCGAAGGGGUGAAGUGAUUGCAGUGUUUGAGUUGUAUUUGAAGGGAGGCAGCGCCUGUGUUUUUUUUUUUUAACUAUUGUUUUUAAUAGUAGGAUACUGUCCCAUAUUUAACUAGUAUAAUUAUUAGAGCCAGGAUCGAUGCCUCUGGUUGUGUAAGGAACAUCAGCAAAUCGUCCGCGAAUAGAGCUAUCUUGUGGGUCUGCUGGGAUGUUAAGACCUGUAAUCUGAGCAUGCUGUUUAAUGUGGCCCACUAAGGGAUCCAAGCAUAAAAUGAAAAUGAGUGGUGAAAUCAGGGAACCCUGCUGGGUGCCAGUGCUAAUAUAGAAGGUGUUGGAUUAAAAAAAAAACCUUAAACACUUUGGCCAAGGGAGCUUGGAAGAUGGCCAUCAUUCCCUUUAGGAAAGAGGCGAAUCCCAUUUUGGUCAGAGUAGCUUGCAAGUAAUCCCAGUUCAGGUGAUCAAACUCCUUUUCAGCAUUGAGCGCCAGAACUGUUCCCCCUGCCUGCUAGAUGUUGCCCAGUUUGUUAGGUUCAUGAAGUGUCUGGCCCACCUGCCUAGGGCAAGAAGAGGAUGGCUUGUCGAACCUCCUCUUCCGUAAAUGGGUCAUCUAGUGUGUCACACUGUUGCUGUGUUAUUUGUGAGAUGUCUAUAUUAUCUAGGAAGUGGCUGAUGGAGUCAUGGGUAGGUUGGGAUAUCAAGGGGUCAUCUUUUACGUUAUAAAGUUUAGUGUAGUACUCCGCUAAUUCGUUAAGGUCAGAGAGGUUAUAUAAUUUAGUGUUUUGGUAUGAAUGAAUGUAGAGCCCUACUAUAGCACCUAUCCCCCCCACUACAAUAACAAAUCUCAUCUAAUCAUUAGAUCUGACGUUACUACGGGCAAUACAUACAUUGUAAAAAGUGUGCCAAAAUAAUACUGCUGAAGCUUAGUGUAGUGGUUCUGGUGUCUAUAGCAUGUCCUGCAGCUUUAGCAUUGUAAACACUACCUUUUCAGAGAAAACACAAUGCUUUCAUUGCUGCAAAGUAACACCUCUAAUUGCAGUCACUCAGAGUGGUGGUGCAUAGUGUGCAGCAUUGGGGUUUAUAAUUUCCAGGCUCUACAUGGAGACACUUAAUGUAACCCACAGAGAUGCACUGAUUCACUGUGUGAGGAAAGCAUUUGUUUGACUUAGAACGUCAAGAUUGAUUGAUGCGCUAUGAAGGUACAGUCAGCUGCAGCAAGAUCAGCAGGGCAUGGAAGAAGAACAAAACCAUUAAAAAAAAAAAAAGUCAUUUUUUGUAGUCCAAAAAAACUUGUAUAGUCUAGUUUGGAAAUACUUUAAUUACCAAGCGAACAUAUAGCAAAUGAGGAUUAUCAUGAGGAUUAUUUUUACCUCCAAACAAAAAUAUAUGGGGGGGGAGUGGGGGGGGAAAGGGGGAGUUUGCUCUGAGCUAUGCCAAUAUGUUCAUGACUGCCUUUGGAUACACUAUUUGCCCCGAGCUUAACUAGAAGCAAUACCCAGUAAUACAUAUUUUUGUUACAUUGACAUCUUAUGUAUAUGGAAAGGAGAAGCAGAUCUUAUUUAUUUUUAAAAUUUUUAAAUAUUAACAAGUGAAGUACAUCUAUCUUUAACCAUGGGUUUUAGUGCAACCAAUAUACACUGUUUAGACUUGGACAUGUUUAUUAAUCUAUUUGCAAGUAUUCCAAAUUUACCAAUAAAGAACGGAAACAUUUUGCACAAAAAAUAAAUAAAUGCAUUUGCACUAUCACACAAAUAAGUCAUAAAAUGUAAUGACUGAAUAGCUUGCAGAUCAACUAAUCAGAACAGAUAAUACAUUUAGUUUAAAUCUAAUAGUGGAGCAGUAAUGUAAUAUAUACACAUAUACACACAACCAUAAUCUGUUAAUCCUUUAGUAGAAUGCAAUCUUUGUACAUAGAAUAUAUUUUUGAAAAAUGGCAGAUAGUAUAGAUUGUUUUAAAAUAAAUAGUUCUCCGAUAAUGCACCACUAUUUCUCACACAGUGUGUAAUAAUAGAGUCAUGUAUAUACACUCUAUAUCACUUCAACCAUUAAGCCAUAAAAUUAAAGGGUGUAUAUACUUAGAGAGAUUGCCUCUGCCUCUAUAAGAAGCCAGUGCUUCUUAGAGGCAAUCUCUCUAAGUAUAUAUACACACACACACUUCAAUUUUAUGGCUUAAUUUAUUUAUUUUUAGAUUAUCUUUAAAAUAAAUUAAUUUUUUUGUUUUGUUUUAAAUACACGUUUACAAAAAAAACCCAAAAAUAAGAAAAUACUUUAAACUGGAAGAAAAAUCCAACAAAUGUAAAAAUUAUCACCCAAUAUCUCUUAUAAAUGUAUACACCAAGCUAUUUUCUUCUAUUAUUGCACAGAGAUUGAAAGUUAUACGGAAUACUAUAGUUCACCCCGAUCGGAUAGGCUUUGUCUCUGACAGACUGGUCAGUAAUAAUUUAAGAAGACUUGUUGAUGUAAUAGAUCUUUUAUAUAAAAACAGGAAUCCCAUGCAGAUCCUGUCUAUCGAUGCCGAAAAGGCAUUUGCCAGGGUCAGAUGAGAAUUAAAGGAAAAUACUCUUCAAGCAUUUGGGCUGUCUGGCUGGAUUUUAGGCACAAUUUUAUCAUUGUAUAAAAGUACCAACGACCCCAACACAUGUGCAAAAUGGUUUAAACUAAAAGUAAUGGAACGACACAGGAUUGUCCUUUAUUUCCCCCCUUUUGUACAUAUUAACCAUGGAAGUACUAGCCACAAGACUCAGACAAAACAAUAUGGUUAGGGAACCACCUACAUAGAUAUUUAUAAGAUAUUUACCUAUUUAGGGAUUAAGAUAUGUAAGAAUUGAAACAGAUUAAUGUAUGUAAAUUUUAAUGAUCUUCUAAAAGAAAAAUCUUAAAGAAUGGCACAGACUAGAGGUUUCUAGUCUAGAGGUGCAGCAGGAUUAACAUCCUAAAGUCAAAUGUACUCCUUAAGUGGAUAUAUAUGUUUAGGAUGUUGCCACUGACCAUUCCCUCACCCUGGUUGACAAUGCUAAAAUCCACCUUUUGACACUUGGUUUGGAGAGGAAAGAUGCAAUCUGUGACAAAAUCUAGAUGCAUUAGAAAGAGCAAUAAAUAAUAUUUAUUUAAAAUCCUGAAAAUUAGACACAUACAAUCAAUUAGAGAUCUAAUUCUAAAUAAGAUGAAACCUUUCAAUAAUGUAGUGAAUGACUUUCAGUUGACAAGGAAUUAAAUUUUCUCUUAUAUUCGAGUAGAACACUUUAGAAAAAGUUCAAUUGGUAUCAAAAUGUAAUUUAUUUCAUAAAAGGAUUGUUACAGAUUAAUAGACCUAAACAAUCACAAUAGCAAUAUAAAAAAAAAAGAGCCAAGGAUCUAAGGAAAGAUAGAUAUACAUUAAAACGAUUUGUUUCUAUCUAGCUAAAAGAUCAACAAAUAUUUACAUUCUCUGUCACUGAUUGCAACGCAUUUUAAAUGUAUUAACUUAUGGUACAUGACCCCAACAAGAUUCUCCAAAAUCUCAUAUGGAGUUAAAACUGUUGGAGAUGUGUGGUAGAAAAAGGAAGUUAUAUACACAUGUGGUGGUCUUGUACAAAUGUGUCAAUUUGGUUAGGGGUUCAAAACAUUCAGUCUAUGUAAGGUCAAAUUCCCUAAAACACCAUAGGCAAUGCUAUAACAACUAAACUGGCCUAAAUUAAAAAAGUCAGAUCAAUUUUUAAUAACAGUCUGGUUGAUGGGAAAAACUGGAAGGGAGAGCAUGAUUUUUUUUUUUUUAACCUAAAUAAGUUCUCAACUAAUAUACCAGUGAAAGAUGGAAAAGAAUUAACCAAACAGCCCAUUAAAGUUUCGGGUCUAUGGGAUAGAUGGGAAAAAAAUAUAUUGGAAAAAUUACUAACGCUUACCUUGUAUGAAAAUGAAGUAAAAGAAAAAGAUUCAUAAAGGGCUCAAGUAAUGCUGGGGGCACUCCAUGACUGAUUUGGGCAUUUUCUUUUUUUUUUUUUUUAGAUUAUUUUCGUUUCUCCCCCACAAGAAAUAACUUCAUUGAUGUAAACAUGCAAGUCUGAUUGUUAAAUGCAACCCAAGAAUUCAUUAAUUUAUUGAAACCCCAUUUCCAGCCUUCCUUGGUGACAGAUACACAUUGUAUUGUAUACAAGAUGUGCUUUAUUUCCUUCAAACUGCUUUUGCACUAUAUAACCAUUUAUUUUUUAUUUCAAUAUCAAACCUGUUAUCUGACACCAAUCAGAUAAGCACUUAUUUUAUGUGCAUUAAUUCACACAAUUUAUGUUAAAAGUUAUGUGUAUCUAAGCAAAAUGCUGCUCUCUUUACCAAAGUUGCAUUAUUCUUUUUUUGCCCCAACUCAAAGAAAUUUCAGCUACUUGAACCCAUUAGCGAUCGUGUCUUCUAGAGUCUCAUUCCUGUAAUAUUUGUUGGUUUCCCUCAGCUCAAAUUAUAAACAUUACUAUAUAAACUAUGUCAGAAAUAUAAUUUAUUAAUAUUCUCUUGUUAAAGUGAAUCCUUCAAUAUACACCUCUAUAACUAAACUUAUGUCUAUAGUUCUACUCACACACAAUCAUCUGUAUACUGAAUUUCUGACCAAUAUACAAUUUAAAUUAAGCCAGUCCACUUUAUUUCCUGGAUUUAUUUUUCAAAUCUGGUCAAUACAUAUAUGUAUAUUUAUAUACAUGGUAUUCACUGCUAAUACCUAUAACAUUAAACUUUAUACAUUCACAAACAGUUUACAUUAACCAAGCACUAACCACAUGUAUUAGAGGUGUAUAGAAUAUAAGUUAUCAAGUUACUAAUUUAUAGGAAGUUUCUGAUUUUUAGACUGCAUAGUAUACACGUUACCAUGGCAACCAGUCUAUUUGAUUCAUAUUCCAAGAUGUACCUUAAAGGACCACUAUAGUGCCAGGCACCCUCAGGGUCCCCCUCCUGCCAGGCUCUAGGGUGAGGAAGGGGUUAAACGUACCUCUUUCUCCAGUGCAGGGCAGGGAGCUCUCCUCCUCGGCUGAAUGUGCAUGCGCAGCAAGAGCCGCACACGCAUUCAGCCAGUCUCAUAUGAAAGCAUUCACAAUGCUUUCCUAUGGACGCUGGCGUCUUCUCACUGAAAAAAAAAAUCAGUGAGAAGCACGCAAGGGCCUCUAGCGGCUGUCGAUGAGACAGCCACUAGAGGCUGGAUGAACCCUAUUUUUUUCUCUGAAACUGUUAUGUUUAUAGAAAAAAGCGUUAACCCUAGCUGGACCUGGCACCCAGACCACUUCAUUAAGCUGAAGUGGUCUGGGUGCCUAUAGUGGUCCUUUAAUGCAUUUGCAAACAGUUGCUAUUAACACAGCACUACACAUACGUAUCAGUUACUCAUAUAAACUAGUAAUUCACAACUUCUACACCAAGUUAUUGCAAUAUUACUUUAUUGUGCAGAAAAGCUUACCGUUACCAUGGUAACAGAUAUAGUUUUAUUCAUAUCAUGCAUAAGUACAUGUUAAAAAAAAUAAAUCUACAUUAACUUUUUGCUUUCCCCUUAUAACAAAAAGCAUGCUUCUUACUCUGGUUGCCAUAGAAAUCUUUUUAAAUGUAAAAUAUAGAAACUUUAUUUCGGUUUUAAUUCUGCGAUGUAAUAUAAGCACUACUUACUUAAUUUUGAUAAAAUAUACAUUCAGUUUGCCAUAUUUAUAGAAAAAAAGAACGGAGAUCGAGACUGCCAAUUUUUGCAAGUGAAAUGUCUUGUAACAGAUCACACUUGUGAUCUUUCCUGACGCUGUGAUUAGUAUAUCGUGUGGUGGUGAUGAUAAUACCAUCAUAAGUACACACCAUGGUCAAACUAUAUUACAAGUGUCAAAAGUUACGGUAUAACACUAGUUACAUAUCGACUGAUAGGAGUCUACGUGUGGUCGCAGGAGAAAGAGGGUGAGGGAAUACACUUGUGUAAAAAAUGGGGCUUGUAGCUCAAAACUUUCUUACGGUAUUUGACUUUGCUUUAGCGGAUUUCGGAAGGGUUAUCAGUUUUUGCCGCUUAUCAUUUGUGUGUAUAGCGCUGUAUUAUAAAUUAUUUUUAUAUCCCAUACAUCAUUUGCAGACUGUCAUUUUGGAACAUGUGAUCUAAAUGAUCAGACCAUCACAAAAAACGCCCACCUAAACCAUUUUCAUAAAGGCGUUAAUCACAUACCAUUUGAAAGGCUACAGGAAUAGGAAGCUAUGCACAAUGAUUUUUAGAUAAGGUCAUUCGAUUUCUUUGGGUUGGGAUACAAGUUAACUUCAUACAUUGAUCACUUGAGGAAAAAAGAAAAAAAAAUAUCACGGGUACAAGCCUGUUUCACAACUAAAUUGAAGACCGCUCUAAAAAUGUUUUAAAUGUAAUACAUUGUUAUUAACAUUUUUAAAUAUUACAGGUUUUUCAAAGGAAAAGUUGUAUUUCUUAAAGUGUACUUUUUCUUUAAGAUAUUUUGCAAACUAGGAAGUUAUUCUUAAUGGAAAAUUUAACUUCUAAUACAAUGUUUCUUUACUUAUCAAAUGGACCAAUUGACCAGAUACGUUAAGAAGAUGCUUAGACUAAGUCGCCAUUUUGUCAUAGGUUAAUGUGAUAGCAAGUCAGGGUCUUGUAUACAUCAUAUCCAACUUUAAGAUUUAGUACAAACAGAUUAAGAGGUCUAGCUCAUGACAAAAGACCAGUUAAGGUGUUCCUAUGUAAAACUAAAACAAGUUGGCCAUGUCAUUUAAUGGUCAUGGCCUCGUAACUUUGCUAGGUUAAAGAUAGAUCAAGUUUAUUUUUCGAUUUUCCAAACAUGAAUUGAAAAACUAUGGUAUAAAUAAGUGUACUCAACAAUAGAGACAGAGGGGAAAAUUUGGAUGCAGAGACUGAGGUUGACUUGUUCAAGAGGGUAUGUUAUUCUAUUGUACAGAUUCAAGCAUGUACCUUAAAUAUAGACAUAAUUUAAUUAUCCAUUAU